AAAAACUAAAAUAAAUAAUCAAGGCCAACUGCAAAGUUGCUUAGAAUUGGCCAUGCUAAAGGUUAACUUGCCAUGGUAGGAGCUUCUCUGUAGUUUAUUAGAGGCAGUGACCAGUCAUGUGUUAUAUUACCCAUUGCCCUUUAUUGUUUUUAAUAGUAUGUGCAAGGGCCAGCUCAACUGUAAACAUGUUCAGAAAUAGUGUAAUAUUCUUUUCAGACUGCGGUGCCCUCCGGUGGUGAAAGAUUAAACGAGUGGCGAUGCCAAUUCAAUGCACACACUCAUAUCUCCCAUGUGCAACAACCCCAGUUCCCCACCAAUAACAACACAAGUUGAAUUCACAUCAAUCAAUAGAUCUGGAAGUUAUGGCAUUAAAAAAAAAAAUACUUUUCUUUGAUUGUAAAUGUAUCUUUUUUUGGUGGAGUGUUUUUCAUCUACAGCAAGAUUACAAUAGAAAGGAAUCCACAUGUUUAUAAGCACUUGUAGGGUUGUAAAUAGGCAGGUUAACAGUAAGGGCCCCGGGGCCCCAUAACAUUACAGCAUGUGCUGAUUCUCAGCUUCUUUCUCCAAAUAACACUGCAGGAUAUUAGUGCCAGGCAGUUGCAGCCUCACGCUUGUUACUUCGUUUCUUUCUAUCAAGAAACACCUGGACCUCACCUGGUCCUCCCUGGUCACAUGACAGUUUCAUUUUGGGGCAGAAGCUGAAUUUGCCGGUUUUGUAAGAGGUGAGGAAGGGAAACUGGAACGGCCGAACCAUAGGAACCCAACACAUCUCAGCCUCAGCACCUCUGCAUUUAACCUGCAGCCUUGAGCCAAAAAGGACAACACCAAUGAAGGAAGACGUGGAAAGAUUCUUUCACAUAACUGAUGGGUGAGCCAUUUGUGAUCCAGAGAGACAGAACCACAAAGGAACUGGGCUGGAAGGCGACAUAUUAAAGGUUAGAAGGUCGGAGAAGGAGACUGGCACCGCGGGUGACCAGCAAAGCAGCUGAUAUAUGCACGAGGCACAGCAGAGGGAGAGACACUACGGCUAAUGAGGGAUGAAAUGAGACUUUGCUGUAAAUAGCCAGGGCAGGAGGCAAACAGAAGGGUGAAAGAAAAAAAGUUGGGGACAUCAGAAGCGGAAGAGAAGACACAAGGUGAUACAAAUGGAAAACAGGUGAAACUUGUGAAUUUCGUGAACGUGCAGCCAAAAAUCAUAUUGCUGCCUGGAGCGCCCCACCGACUGAUGCUUGGAGGGACACAGGCUGGAUAUACUGUAUUUGGAACCAGGGAAAUCCUUUUAUUUUGUUUGAAUUAAACCAACCCCAACGUAUCAAUGAGACAAGCAGGAGAAUUCUGCACUGACAUUAGCAGGAACGCGUAUAAGGUCCCUCCAGCCUGCGCCUCCGUUUUCCAGCAAGCAAAUCCAUCAGAGAUAGACGUCUCUCAUUUGUUUGCAGACCAUUUGCACACAGAAUGGCCAACUGGCACCUAAAUAUGGAUGAGCCCGAGCUCUCCUGCUGUUGGAACUGGGCAGUGAUUGAGUUUCAGGUUUUUUAUUAUCUUUUCACCCAUUCUGUGGAUUAUGGAUCAGGGUGCCCAGUCUUUGCCUACCUGAAAAUCCAGUGAUAGGAAUGAGAAUAAUGUCUCAUUAUCCUGAAGCCUGGUCAAUAGGGAUUGUGGGGGCGGAAUUAUUGGUCUAGGGCACAAAUGUACUAUCUAAAUCGAAUGCAAACCUCCUAAUGUUGUCAUCAUGACCUCAAUGCCCACUUUAUCAGACAAGAGCAUAUUAACAAGACAAAAAGGAGAAGAAAGAUGUGCUAAGAGCAUAUGAACAAGACAACAAGAAGAAGAAAGACGUUCCAUCUACUUACUCUCUGCUCCUGAGUUGCCACGAAG